GGGCCAUGGGAAAAAUUUCCUCGUCUACAUGGGACCCGUGAGACGCGUGUAUGCGCACACGCGCGACGCACAAAACGUGAGCGCACACGCGUGGCAGCACGGGACAUGAGGCGCGCAGUUUACAUGUGCAGACUUGGGCGGCGCGCGUCGCUAGUUGGGUGGCGUGCCUCUAGUUUUUGCAUCACUGUUGCAUCACCGUCGUCAUAUCGGCCAUCCAUCAAUCGCAUUCGUCAGUCGUCGCAUUGCAUCAAGUCACUUUUUUCCUCCUCUCCCCUCACAAGAUUUUGCUACUUGGCGAAAAUUCGACUGUCCCAAUUUUUUAUAAAUAGGGACUAUUUGCCACCAUUUAUUCACCACUCC
rnacentral:lncRNA from 1 species